UUCCAAUAAAAAUGUGAUGGUGGGGGCUAACUAGGGGUGGGAUUCAGCUGAUUUGGACUGGUUCGGAUGUUAAUUUUAAUCUGGUUCGCUGAACCGGUUGUUCUAAGGACUGGCUGACUCUACCCACCCCACCCCUCCCAGGAGUCUCCAGAUGGCCCAUUUUGGAUGCCAGAUACGAUAGUUGAGCAGUUCAGACAUUUAAGCCUCAUCAUCUUAAAAUCAGUAUUUGGAAAACUCACAAUAAAGGUGUGUUACCAAUAAAAAAGGAAGCUGGGAAGACAGCAAAUUUACUUUUAACACCCAGAGAUGAGUUCUCAGAAACAACACAAACAGAAGCAAGAAUCUUUCCCAAGGCCAGGACCCAGACUUUCAUUUAACUACUGUAUCUUUAAACAUCAAAAGCAGGGCCCUGAAGCACCUAGAUGCAGUUCUUUGGGGAGUUCCAAUAUCACUUGUACCUAUAAUCCAGGAAAUAAAGAUUGUGUAUAAUAAA